rnacentral:rRNA from 1 species
GGAAAAGUGUCGACAACAUCAAAGCAUGAAGCACCACUCCAGAGAAGACUUCCAGUUCAGGCAGGAAGGAAGAUCGCUGCAAGCUGAUAAGGUUGAUCGGUCUGAGGUGGAAGUGUGGCGACACAUGGAGCUGACAGCUGCUAAUCGAUCAAGGACUUAACCACAUUU